AAUACAGUAUUAGGGGACCACUAAGUUCUAUAUAAAAGAGACUUCAGAUACCGUAGUUAGGGACCACGAAGGUCUAUAUAAAAGAGACUUCAGAUACAGUAUAGGGACCACUAAGGUCUAUAUAAAGAGACUUCAGAUACAGUAUUAGGGGACACUAAGGUCAUAUAAAGAGACUUCAGAUACAGAUUAGGGACCACUAAGGUCUAUAUAAAAUGGAGGGACUGCAGAACAGUAUUGGGG